CCCUUAGAUGUUCUGGGCUGCACGCGCGCUACACUGAUGCACUCAACGAGUUUACGACCUUGCCCGAUAGGGUUGGGUAAUCUUUUUAAAAUGCAUCGUGAUGGGGAUAGAUUAUUGCAAUUAUUAAUCUUCAACGAGGAAUUCCUAGUAAGCGCGAGUCAUCAGCUCGUGCUGAUUACGUCCCUGCCCUUUGUACACACCGCCCGUCGCUCCUACCGAUUGAGUGCUCAGGUGAAUAAUUCGGACUGCAGCAAUGUUUGGAUCCCGAACGUUGCAGCGGAAAGUUUAGUGAACCUGAUCACUUAGAGGAAGGAGAAGGCGUAACA
rnacentral:rRNA from 1 species